rnacentral:rRNA from 1 species
AGAGUUUGAUCAUGGCUCAGAAUCAACGCUGGCGGCGUGCCUAACACAUGCAAGUCGAACGUGAAAGGGGCUUCGGCCCCGAGUAAAGUGGCAAACGGGUGAGUAACGCGUGGGUGAUCUGCCUUUGAGUGGGGGAUAACCUUCCGAAAGGAGGGCUAAUACCGCAUGACAUCCUGUUCUUGGAUGAACGGUGAUCGAAGCUGGGGACCGCAAGGCCUGGCGCUUGAAGAGGAGCCCGCGUCCGAUUAGCUAGUUGGUGGGGUAAUGGCCUACCAAGGCGACGAUCGGUAGCCGGCCUGAGAGGGCGGACGGCCACACUGGGACUGAGACACGGCCCAGACUCCUACGGGAGGCAGCAGUGGGGAAUUGUUCGCAAUGGGCGCAAGCCUGACGACGCAACGCCGCGUGGGGGAUGAAGGUCUUCGGAUUGUAAACCCCUGUUGGGUGGGACGAACACUUCCGUGGUGAAUAUCCAUGGAGGCUGACGGUACCACCUGAGGAAGCCCCGGCUAACUCUGUGCCAGCAGCCGCGGUAAUACAGAGGGGGCAAGCGUUGUUCGGAAUUACUGGGCGUAAAGGGCGCGUAGGCGGCCUGUUAAGUCGGACGUGAAAUCCCUCGGCUCAACCGGGGAACUGCGUCUGAUACUGGCGGGCUUGAAUUCGGGAGAGGGAUGUGGAAUUCCAGGUGUAGCGGUGAAAU